UACAGAGGGGGCAAGCGUUGUUCGGAAUUACUGGGCGUAAAGGGCGCGUAGGCGGCCCGCUAAGUCGAACGUGAAAUCCCCGAGCUCAACUCGGGAACUGCGUCCGAUACUGGCGGGCUUGAAUCCGGGAGAGGGAUGCGGAAUUCCAGGUGUAGCGGUGAAAUGCGUAGAUAUCUGGAGGAACACCGGUGGCGAAGGCGGCAUCCUGGACCAACACUGACACUGAGGAGCGAAAGCCAGGGGAGCAAACGGG
rnacentral:rRNA from 1 species